rnacentral:rRNA from 1 species
GAUGAACGCUGGCGGCGUGCUUAACACAUGCAAGUCGAACGAAGCACCUUGAUUCGAUUCUUCGGAUGAAGAUCUUGGUGACUGAGUGGCGGACGGGUGAGUAACGCGUGGGUAACCUGCCUCAUACAGGGGGAUAACAGUUAGAAAUGACUGCUAAUACCGCAUAAGACCACAGCACCGCAUGGUGCAGGGGUAAAAACUCCGGUGGUAUGAGAUGGACCCGCGUCUGAUUAGGUAGUUGGUGGGGUAACGGCCUACCAAGCCGACGAUCAGUAGCCGACCUGAGAGGGUGACCGGCCACAUUGGGACUGAGACACGGCCCAAACUCCUACGGGAGGCAGCGGUGGGGAAUAUUGCACAAUGGGGGAAACCCUGAUGCAGCGACGCCGCGUGAGCGAUGAAGUAUUUCGGUAUGUAAAGCUCUAUCAGCAGGGAAGAAAAUGACGGUACCUGACUAAGAAGCACCGGCUAAAUACGUG